rnacentral:rRNA from 1 species
GGAGUUAGCCGGUGCUUCUUCUGUGAGUGAUGUCCUUCCUGCCGGCUAUUAACCCGCAGGCCUUCUUCCUCACUGAAAGUGCUUUACAACCCGAAGGCCUUCUUCACACACGCGGCAUGGCUGGAUCAGGGUUGCCCCCAUUGUCCAAUAUUCCCCACUGCUGCCUCCCGUAGGAGUCUGGGCCGUGUCUCAGUCCCAGUGUGGCUGAUCAUCCUCUCAGACCAGCUACGGAUCGUCGCCUUGGUGAGCCGUUACCUCACCAACCAGCUAAUCCGACAUAGGCUCAUCCGAUAGCGCGAGGCCCGAAGGUCCCCCGCUUUCCCCCGUAGGGCGUAUGCGGUAUUAGCCUGGGUUUCCCCAGGUUAUCCCCCACUACCGGGCAGAUUCCUAUGCAUUACUCACCCGUCCGCCGCUCGCCACCAGGGAGCAAGCUCCCCGUGCUGCCGCUCGACUUGCAUGUGUUAGGCCUGCCGCCAGCGUUCAUCCUGAGCCAGAAUCAAACUCUGA